UCCAUUCCCAUCUCUCUGUCUCGCCCAUCCCCUUUUCUCUCCCUUCCCUUUCGGCUCACGGUGGCGGCGCACAAGCAGGAGCGACGGCGGCCGGACUGCCGGAGCAAGGCGCAGCACACGGACGUCGAAUCUGAGGCCGUGGGUACGUCUCCCCAGGGAUCGAUUCGGGGAGCUCGCCGGGGUCCUUCCUGCGCCGGCAGGCCAACCCCCAUCGCUGCGACAGCAACCACCAGUUCGCAAUACCCUUCAAGCUCACGCGUGGGGCACAACGCUUCCUCUCUCAUCCAAUGCUGGCGCAAGGUCAGCACCCUGUCUAAGUAGCUGAGGGAGGGAAAGAGGAGGGCGAUGUAUGGAGCUAGCCGAGGCACUGGAGGACAGGAAGAUAAAUAGAGAGGGCGUGAAGGUUAGUGCCAGCUGCUGCCCACAUGUCUCUGUGUCCACAGAUGGUCAGCAUGCAGACAUGAAGAUGGUUUUAUAGGUAAUCACUAUUGCAUGGGCAUUGUGUUUUAGUUUGAACAGAGUUCAGAUCAUUCAACUGAAGCAGCAGCUGCACCUUUUAUUUUGAAAUACUACAUUCAUUCCAAUCUUCUUAAGUGACAAAAUGACAUGCUGGACUUCUCCUCUCAAUAUAUGCUGUUCACAUAACAAUCGUGGAGUAAAUACAGUUAGUAUCACCAAGUACAUUAUGCAGACAAAACAAUAGGAGAUACAGUUUUCUUGGCUUGACUUUAAAUUUUAGAAAGCAUAGAUGAAAACAAUGACUAUUGGCCAAAGAAAUAAAAUAUGAUGUGUAGAACUAAGAAAAGAAAAGACCUAAAAGAAAGUUCUUUAACAAAGUUUUUCACCUUCCAUGCUCUGUCUAAUUUUAGAAUACCACCUCAUGUUGCAAGAGGCUUUGUUAGAUGAGGAGGCAGCCUGGAAGCAGCAUGUUGGUACCUGUAACAUCCCAGUUUUUAUCAAUAUUAAAAAAAAUGCAAGGCAACCCUCUAAAACAUUCUUCACUAAGCAAGAGUGAGAUAUUUUCCAUGGAGUACUCUAGAAUGUAAAAUUUUGAAAAUGUUAGAAUAUUUUGGAAUUCUGUAGAAGGGGGACACUUAUCCUAAUACCAUGGCUCCUCUUCACCUAUAAAUAGAGCCUCCUCCUUGCCAUGGCAUCCAUCCAUGAGCAAGGUAGAUGAGUUGUGGUAGGGCUAGAAAGGUGAGUGCUAGGCUAACCACUUAAAGGUGUGUGUUCCUUUGUAACUUUGUUGCUCCAAUAAGGUAAGGGUCUUUAUAAGUGUUAGUCUCCUGGUUAAACUUAAGUACUUAGUGUAUAAGUUGUGAUCCAUCGAAGGUUGGCUCUGUCAUCGGGGAUCACAAAAGGGUCUGGACUUCAUCGAAGGUUGGCUCUGUCACCCGGAAGCCAGCUUCAUCCGUUGGUAGGCUCUGCCUCCCGGAAGCAAAAGGCGGCUCUGCCGUCAAAAGGAUCCGGUACACUAAGUAACUAGAAGCUGAUCGACUUUGAAGUGAGUUGGUCUGUCAUAGGAGUAGAUCCUCAACUUAGUGGGUAUUAGGGCCACCUCAAUUUCCAACAAUUACUAAAAUAAACCUUAUGUUGCAAUUAAACUAGUAACAUAAGAUAACACUAACGUUAUAUGAGGUAUUAUAUAACUGCUAGGCAAACUAUUUUAUACUCUUGCGUUGCGUUAGUAUAUUCGUUCCCUUCAGUAACCAGCAUACGCAUGCUUGCACCUACGAUAAAAAUCAUCUCGUCUAUUUCCAUAGAAGCCUCUCGAGUCACCGUACCACGCCAUAAUUUCCAGACAAUCAUGACAGCGCCUACCCUCUUCGCCAUAACUUCAUCAUCCCCUGGAAGCCACAGAGUACCCACACCAUUGACCUUGAAAUGACACGUCAUGGCAGCACUCACUCCAAUUCCUGGAAGCUGGCAAGAGUGCUCACAAUAUUAAAUAACCCGUCAUGCAAAUAUGGCGGCACCCACCUCGCCAUAAAUCGGGGUUGUCGCGCACGGUGCCGGCCGAGAUUUUUUUUCUCCGCCGCGCGAACCGCCUCACCUCGUCUAUAAAAGAAGCCGACGCCCCCUCCCUGCCGUCCUCACCCGCGCUCGCUCUCGCUCGCGCACGCGCGACACGACGGGACCUCGCACUGCUGUCCGCACCACGCCGUGCCGCCCACCACCGCGUCCCCACCUUGCCCACGCCGCUGCAGCGUCCUCACCGGUUUUGCCGUUUCGACGCUCGCGCCUUCAGCGCUGCCACUGUUAGCGUUGACGACGAGCUGCCGCAGCCCACGCCGUCGCCCAUCCCUGCGCGACGCCGCCGCUGCUCUCCUCGCCUAUAAAAGGAGCGAGGCCGUGACGAGCCCCAUCAUCAGCCCAAGCACACCGAUCCGCUUCGCUCCGCUAGCUGAACCACUCCUCACGAGCCCAGCUCACUCACGAGACGAAGCUCCAAUAGUUGACCCUCUUCCUGGAGCUGUUCCGCGCUAAGGUGAGAUGGCAGGCAGCUCCCCGACCAUUAACUCCGCAAUACUAAUAAAGGCCCAAAACACCCACCAGGCCGUGAGCACUUAAUCUAAAUCUUUCUAUUUUCGGAAUUAAAUACCAACCAAUACUGUAAACGCAAUAUCUCCUUCAUAUUAACUCCUUUUCACGUAACUCUUUUUUCUAAACUCUCCUCAAAUCAUAUAUUAUCUAUUCCUCCUAUUUUCAUCUCCAUUUGAGCUUAUUUUAUAGCUUGCUUGUGUUUGUUUGCCGGUUGUGCCGUU